GAUCCUUCGCUGCGGAUACAUCGCCUUCUGUUCUGUGCCUCUUGAACGCUGCCUUUGCUCCUAUUGCGAUUUGUCUCGCGUACGAGAUACCACCUCUCACAGUAUCUCGAGGGCGGCGCUUCCCUUUGUCUCCACCCUUUGUACCUUUCCGUGGCCGGAUCUCUCGCCUCCUCGCGCCAGCGCGAGAGGACGAUGAUGCCGGCGAGAGAUCGAGGGAGAGAAUUGGAGACGAACAGAAGAGGAGAGACACAGCCGGGAUGGUGAAGGGUGGAGUUGGUACAAACGCUGGAUAAAAAGGAUUCCGGAAAGGGGGGAGAAUUGAACUCUCCACAUCCCUUCCUCCAGCUGAAUACAUCCAUAAAUAAACGUAUAAAGAUAUAAACG